CCUACGGGAGGCCGCAGUGAGGAAUAUUGGUCAAUGGACGAGAGUCUGAACCAGCCAAGUAGCGUGAAGGAUGACUGCCCUAUGGGUUGUAAACUUCUUUUAUAUGGGAAUAAAACGUUCCACGUGUGGCUUUUUGUAUGUACCUUAUGAAUAAGUAUCGGCUAACUCCGUGCCAUCAGCCGCGGUAAUACGGAGGAUCCGAGAGUUAUCCGAUUUUAUUUGGUUUAAAGGGAGCGUAGGUGGAUUGUUAAGUCAGUUGUGAAAGUUUGCGGCUCAACCGUAAAAUUGCAGUUGAAACUGGCAGUCUUGAGUACAGUAGAGGUGGGCGGAAUUCGUGGUGUAGCGGUGAAAUGCUUAGAUAUCACGAAGAACUCCGAUUGCGAAGGCAGUUCACUGGACUGCAACUGACACUGAGGCUCGAAAGUGUGGGUAUCAAACAGGAUUAGAUACCCCAGUAGUC
rnacentral:rRNA from 1 species